rnacentral:rRNA from 1 species
GACGAACGCUGGCGGCGUGCCUAAUACAUGCAAGUAGAACGCUGAAGAGAGGAGCUUGCUCUUCUUGGAUGAGUUGCGAACGGGUGAGUAACGCGUAGGUAACCUGCCUUGUAGCGGGGGAUAACUAUUGGAAACGAUAGCUAAUACCGCAUAACAAUGGGUGACACAUGUCAUUUAUUUGAAAGGGGCAAUUGCUCCACUACAAGAUGGACCUGCGUUGUAUUAGCUAGUAGGUGAGGUAAUGGCUCACCUAGGCGACGAUACAUAGCCGACCUGAGAGGGUGAUCGGCCACACUGGGACUGAGACACGGCCCAGACUCCUACGGGAGGCAGCAGUAGGGAAUCUUCGGCGAUGGGGGCAACCCUGACCGAGCAACGCCGCGUGAGUGAAGAAGGUUUUCGGAUCGUAAAGCUCUGUUGUAAGUCAAGAACGGGUGUGAGAGUGGAAAGUUCACACUGUGACGGUAGCUUACCAGAAAGGGACGGCUAACUACGU